rnacentral:rRNA from 1 species
CCUACGGGAGACUGCAGUGGGGAAUAUUGCGCAAUGGGCGAAAGCCUGACGCAGCGACGCCGCGUGAGGGAUGAAGGUCCUCGGAUCGUAAAACUCUGUCAGCAGGGAAGAACGGUCACUGUGCUAAUCAGCAGUGAAUUGACGGUACCUGUAAAGGAAGCACCGGCUAACUCCGUGCCAGCAGCCGCGGUAAUACGGAGGGUGCGAGCGUUAAUCGGAAUUACUGGGCGUAAAGCGCUCGUAGGCGGUAUGUCAAGUCAGGGGUGAAAUCCCCGCGCUCAACGGGGGAACUGCCUUUGAAACUGGCAAACUUGAGUGUGUGAGAGGAUAGUGGAAUUCCAGGUGUAGGAGUGAAAUCCGUAGAUAUCUGGAGGAACAUCAGUGGCGAAGGCGACUAACUGGCACAUAACUGACGCUGAGGAGCGAAAGCGUGGGUAGCAAACAGGAUUAGAUACCCUGGUAGUC